UACGUAGGGUGCGAGCGUUGUCCGGAAUUACUGGGCGUAAAGGGCUCGUAGGCGGCCAACUAAGUCGGACGUGAAAUCCCUCAGCUUAACUGGGGAACUGCGUCCGAUACUGGAUGGCUUGGAUUUGGGAGAGGGAUGCGGAAUUCCAGGUGUAGCGGUGAAAUGCGUAGAUAUCUGGAGGAACACCGGUGGCGAAGGCGGCAUCCUGGACCAAUAUUGACGCUGAGGAGCGAAAGCCAGGGGAGCAAACGGG
rnacentral:rRNA from 1 species